rnacentral:lncRNA from 1 species
CCAAAACUUUUAUAACUCCUCCUAUUAUUUUGGGUAAGAAAUAUUAAUAUCUUUGCGGGGGGGGGGGGGGGGGGGGUGUGCUUCAUGGGGUACAAAGUUCCUAUUAUUUUAAUAUUUUCCUUAAGCUGUCAAUCAAAUGAAAAUGGAGAUAUACUGUAAUUAAACUUGCUUUACUCCAGCUGAGGUGGGUUCAAAGGAUGCAUAGCCAACCAGACAAAGUGUGUUUUUAAUUUGGUAAGUAUUUAUUAUAGCUAAAAAGAAACUAUAGCAACAAUUUCUUGUCCAGGAGAUAAUGCUAGAAAUUUUACUUAUUUGCAGUACAAAUGCCUCUAAACUAGAAGAUGAAAUAUGCACUAAAUGCUGAAAAAAGUUCUCCAUGUGCUUUUUCCUUGAAGGCAACAGAUUGAAAUGAAGGGAUGUAUUGGAAAACAUACCAUAGGAGAAAGAGAAAAUAAGAGAAAAGAAAGAAUAACGUAUAUAUUUAAAAAUAAUAAUGUCUCUUAGCUGUAAAAUCAUCGCACCUACAUGCCACCUGUACCACCCACAUCAUAGCAUUAAAGCCUUCUGUCAAUGAUUCAAGUUUUCUGGUUGAAAUGAUAAAUUAAGGGAAGGGGGUAAGAUCAGGGAUUCAGAUAAGAGUUUCACCACAGCGACUACUGCACCACCACCACAUUAAAGGUCAAUUAAUAUAAACCUGGAGAUUAGGAUGGAAUGGCAUAGCAUAACUUUUUUAUUUCUGUUCCCCUCAAUGGAGUAUAAAUGCCUUCAGUUGCCACAGUUAUUUUUAACAGCUAUUUCACUCAGGAGGAUUGACAGUGCUGUGGACACCUGCUGUGACCAAGGAAACCUUCAAUGA